GGGCCUGUAGCUCAGUCUGGUUAGAGCGCUGGUCUUAUAUGAGUUAGUUCCAUUAGGAACUUAAUCUCUCAACAGAGAAAUCUAAGAGAGCCAGAGGUCCCGAGUUCAACUCUCGGCAGGAUCA
rnacentral:tRNA from 1 species